rnacentral:lncRNA from 1 species
AUCAUCGAUUCCGGCGAGAGAGAGAGAAGUGAUCGUUCUUGGUCUGUGAAGACAGAUCUGAUCGUUCUUGGUCGGAACUAAACAGUGAACCUCUGUUCUACAGAUCUGAUGUGGCCAUUUCGUGAUAUGACCACCACCAUCAUCGAUUCCGGCGCGCGCGAGAGGGAGAAGGGGGAAGUGGACUGUUACCGGUGGGUACAAAUUUUGAGGCAGUGAAAUGUUGGCGGUGGGGGAGUG